rnacentral:rRNA from 1 species
UACGGAGGGUGCAAGCGUUGUCCGGAAUCACUGGGCGUAAAGGGCGCGUAGGCGGCUCGGUAAGUAGGGGGUGAAAUCCUGCGGCUUAACCGCAGGGCUGCCUUCUAAACUGUCAGGCUGGAGCACAGUAGAGGCAGGUGGAAUUCCCGGUGUAGCGGUGGAAUGCGUAGAGAUCGGGAAGAACAUCAGUGGCGAAGGCGGCCUGCUGGGCUGUUGCUGACGCUGAGGCGCGACAGCGUGGGGAGCAAACGGG